UACAGAGGUCCCAAGCGUUGUUCGGAUUUACUGGGCGUAAAGGGUGCGUAGGUGGUUGGGUAAGUCUGAUGUGAAAUCUCCGGGCUCAACCCGGAAAUGGCAUUGGAUACUAUCUGACUCGAGGAUUGGAGGGGGGACUGGAAUACUUGGUGUAGCAGUGAAAUGCGUAGAUGUCAAGUGGAACACCAGUGGCGAAGGCGAGUCCCUGGACAACUCCUGACACUGAGGCACGAAAGCUAGGGGAGCAAACAGG
rnacentral:rRNA from 1 species